GACGAACGCUGGCGGCGUGCCUAAUACAUGCAAGUAGAACGCAGUUGCGCACGGGCGCGUAACGCGUCUGUAAAUGCCUCAUAGCGGGGGGUAACUAUUGGAAACGCUAGCUAAUCCCGCAUACUGUGCGAUGGACCUGCGUUGUUUUAGCUAUUUGGUGAGGUAAAGGCACACCAAGGCGACGAUACACAGCCGACCUGAGAGGGAGUACGUGCAACAUGGGAUAGAGACACGGCUAAGAAGCCUACUGGAGGCAGCAGUAGAGAAUCGGGGGCAAUGGAAGUAAGUCGGACCGAGGAACUCCGCGUGAGUGAAGAAGGUGUUCGGAUAGUAAAGCUCUGUUGUUAUAUAAGCGAUAACUAACGAGAAAGGGACGGCUAACUACGUGCCAGCAGCCGCGGUAAUAC
rnacentral:rRNA from 1 species